rnacentral:lncRNA from 1 species
AAAUGAACUAUUUACGUUCACUAAAUCAGAACCGAGUUUUAUUCUAAAAUCUACAAUGCCGCUGUCGCGAUUUAGCCUGUCAAAGUAUAAAACUUAUAUUUUUUAAAAUUAAGAACUUCUAAUAAAUUAAAAAGUCGUUUUGAGUGAAUAAUAAAUUUAAAGGUGAUAUCAACUGCCGCUCGCGUAACACCAGAGUUCAAACUUAUAAAUGUUUGAUGUUGCAACACAUCUAUUCCUCUAAACUCUAUUUUUGAAAAUGGUUGUUUU